rnacentral:rRNA from 1 species
GACGAACGCUGGCGGCGUGCUUAACACAUGCAAGUGGCGCGACGAACCGGGCUUCGGCCCGGGGCAGAGCCGCGAACGGGUGAGUAACACGUGGGUAACCUGCCUCGAAGACUGGGACAACCCGGGGAAACCCGGGCUAAUACCAGAUGUGCUCACCACUCAUAAGGGUGGUGAACAAAGGAAGCUCCGGCCUCCGCUUCGAGAGGGGCCCGCGGCCCAUUAGCUUGUUGGUGAGGUAACGGCUCACCAAGGCGACGAUGGGUAGCUGGUCUGAGAGGACGAUCAGCCACACUGGGACUGAGACACGGGCCAGACGCCUACGGGAGGCAGCAGUGGGGAAUCUUGCGCAAGGGGCGACAGCCUGACGCAGCAACGCCGCGUGGGGGAAGAAGGCCUUCGGGUUGUAAACCCCUUUCAGGAGGGACGAAGCCUCGGGAGUGAAUAGCUCUCCGGGGUGACGGUACCUCACGAAGAAGCCCCGGCUAACUACGUGCCAGCCGCCGCAGUAAAAC